AACGAAACUACCCUUCUGUCAGUCCAAAAGUCAUCGCGUAAGCUUGCGGGUGGAACGCGACGUAUGCGGAAGUCGUGUACUGGUGUGAAUUCGUAUGAAUAGUGAUCUAGUUUUAUAAACAGAAAAUACGCACUUCAAAAGGAAUUAUAGUGCUACGAGAGGCGAAGCGACAAAACGACCAACUAUUUGCGCUCUUUCGAAAUGUAUUUGCUCUCGAUGGUGACGACUAUUUGUCUAUGCUAACAUGACAAUGAAACGCUAAAGAACUUUCCUUUUAUAAAAAUGGAUGAAGGAGCCCGUAUCCGUCGAUAAAUGUUAGUAAAAGUUGAAGGGACAUACCUACACAACGAAUAGCAAAAGCCUGCCUCGUCCAUUGCGAUCAGCUACAUAUCUCACAUUAAGAUGACAUAGAAUGGGUUGGGUGGCGCUAGGGCGGUGUGCGAGUGGUGGCGGCCGCUUCUCAUCUAUCCUCUCGCUAUCUCUCACCUCCUUCGUGAGUUCCUUAAUCUUCACAUCCCUUUGUAUCCUCACACUUGCCUUUUCACUCGUCUCUCUCGUUCGUGCCGAAGACAUGUACGUAUAGCACACAAGAUAAUCGCCAUAUACGAAUU